ACUCAAAGGAAUAGACGGGGACCCGCACAAGCGGUGGAACAUGUGGUUUAAUUCGAGGCAACGCGAAGAACCUUACCAGGAUUUGACAUGCCCUCUGUGAGCUCUUGAAAGAGAACUCUUCACUUCGGGUGGGAGGUGCACAGGUGCUGCAUGGCUGUCGUCAGCUCGUGUCGUGAGAUGUUGGGUUAAGUCCCGCAACGAGCGCAACCCUCGUCCUCUGUUGCUAACAGGUUAUGCUGAGAACUCUGAGGAAACUGCCGGUGAUAAGCCGGAGGAAGGUGGGGAUGACGUCAAGUCCUCAUGGCCCUUACAUCCUGGGCUACACACGUGUUACAAUGGCAGUGACAAUGCGUCGCGAGCUCGCAAGAGUAAGCUAAUCGCAAAAAGCUGCCUCAGUUCGGAUUGUACUCUGCAACUCGAGUACAUGAAGUUGGAAUCGCUAGUAAUCGCGCAUCAGCUCGGCGCGGUGAAUACGUUCCCGGGUCUUGUACACACCGCCCGU
rnacentral:rRNA from 1 species